rnacentral:rRNA from 1 species
UACGGGGGGGGCAAGCGUUGUUCGGAAUUACUGGGCGUAAAGCGCGCGUAGGCGGACCUGCAAGUCGGGGGUGAAAGCCCGAGGCUCAACCUCGGAACUGCCUUCGAUACUGCGGGUCUCGAGUCCGGGAGAGGUGAGUGGAAUUCCUAGUGUAGAGGUGAAAUUCGUAGAUAUUAGGAAGAACACCAGUGGCGAAGGCGGCUCACUGGCCCGGUACUGACGCUGAGGCGCGAAAGCGUGGGGAGCGAACAGG